rnacentral:rRNA from 1 species
UACGAAGGUGGCAAGCGUUGUUCGGAUUUACUGGGCGUAAAGGGAGCGUAGGUGGUUAGGUAAGCCCUCCGGGAAAUCUUCAGGCUUAACCUGAAAAGGUCGGGGGGGACUGCCUGGCUAGAGGACGGGAGAGGAGCGCGGAAUUCCCGGUGUAGAGGUGAAAUUCGUAGAUAUCGGGAGGAACACCAGUGGCGAAGGCGGCGACCUGGGCAGAUAUUGACGCUGAGGUGCGAAAGCGUGGGGAGCAAACAGG